UAGGUAACCUGCCUUGUAGCGGGGGAUAACUAUUGGAAACGAUAGCUAAUACCGCAUAACAAUGGAUGACACAUGUCAUUUAUUUGAAAGGAGCAAUUGCUCCACUACAAGAUGGACCUGCGUUGUAUUAGCUAGUAGGUGAGGUAAUGGCUCACCUAGGCGACGAUACAUAGCCGACCUGAGAGGGUGAUCGGCCACACUGGGACUGAGACACGGUCCAGACUCCUACGGGAGGCAGCAUG
rnacentral:rRNA from 1 species